GUGCUGGCUUCAGCAACACAUAUACUAAAACUAGAACAUAACAGAGAUUAGCACAGCCCCUGUACAAGGAUAACAUGCAUAUUUGUGAAGUGUCCCAUAUUAAA
ensembl:snRNA U6 U6 spliceosomal RNA